AUUCUACUCCCUCCGUUGCACAAUACAUGCCUUCUAUUUGUCAAAAUAUAUAUGUAUCUAGACAUGUUUUAGUAUAUAGGUACAUCCAUUUUNGUAUCUAGACAUGUUUUAGUAUAUAGGUACAUCCAUUUUUGGACAAAUGGAAGUCAAGUAUUUUGGAACGGAGGGAGUACACA
rnacentral:pre_miRNA from 1 species